GUUUAAGUAGUUUAACAAAAAUUUAGGCCUGUGGAGCCUGAGAUAUAGUAAUUCUAUCUUAAACA
rnacentral:tRNA from 2 species